UACGUAGGGGGCAAGCGUUGUCCGGAAUCAUUGGGCGUAAAGAGCGCGUAGGCGGCCCAGUAAGUCCGCUCUGAAAGUCAGGGGCUCAACCCCUGAAUGCGGGUGGAUACUGCUGGGCUAGAGUCCGGAAGAGGCGAGUGGAAUUCCUGGUGUAGCGGUGAAAUGCGCAGAUAUCAGGAGGAACACCAAUGGCGAAGGCAGCUCGCUGGGAUGGUACUGACGCUGAGGCGCGAAAGCGUGGGGAGCAAACAGG
rnacentral:rRNA from 1 species